UCCUUCGGGAGCACCGGCGGACUGCUCAGUAACACGUGGACAACCUACCCUCGGGUGGGGGAUAACCUCGGGAAACUGAGGCUAAUACCCCAUAGGCCUCGGAUACUGGAAGGUUCCGAGACCGAAAGCUCCGGCGCCCGAGGAUGGGUCUGCGGCCUAUCAGGUAGUUGGUGGUGUAAAGGACCACCAAGCCUACGACGGGUACNGGCCCUGAGAGGGGGAGCCCGGAGAUGGACUCUGAGACACGAGUCCAGGCCCUACGGGGCGCAGCAGGCGCGAAACCUUCGCAAUGCGCGAAAGCGCGACGAGGGGAGCCCGAGUGCCCUUCCUUUCNAGAGGGCUUUUCUGGAGCCUAAAAAGCUCCAGGAAUAAGGGCUGGGCAAGAC
rnacentral:rRNA from 1 species